rnacentral:rRNA from 1 species
CCGUUCUUAGUUCGUGGAGUGAUUUGUCUGGUUAAUUCCGAUAACGAACGAGACUCAAAUAUAUUAAAUAGAUGCUUUCAGGAUUAUGGUGUUUGAAACUCUACAUAACUUUCAUUCAUAUUAUUAGAAAUGGUAUUUUGUUUGAAUACGUUAUUGUAAAGUGGAAUCAUACCUGUUUGUUUGGCCCAUUAAAUACGGUUCACUUGCUUCUUAAAUGGACAAAUUGCGUCUAGCAAUAAUGAGAUUGAGCAAUAACAGGUCUGUGAUGCCCUUAGAUGUCCUGGGCUGCACGCGCGCUACGAAUGAAAGUAUCAACGUGUCUAUCCUAGACCGAGAGGUCUGGGUAAACCGGUGAAUCACUUUCAUGCUUGGGAUUGUGAACUGAAACUGUUCACAUGAACUUGGAAUUCC